GAUGAAGAACGUAGCGAAGUGCGAUAAGUAGUGUGAAUUGCAGAAUUCCGUGAAUCAUCGAAUCUUUGAACGCAAAUUGCACUCCCUGGCAUCCCGGGGAGUAUGCCUGUUUGAGGGUCAGUAAAUUUAAAAUCGGUGCGUUGCAUUUUUUUUUUUGUAACGUCUCCGGAGUUUGGGUUAUCUUAACCCUGAGGGUUAAGAGGCUUAAAAUUGACAUCAUUUCGCGCGCUUUUAGACGUACAUAAAUUAAUUUUUAUUCGUCUAAUCUGGUGCCGAAGGUUAUUAGAUGCGAUCAUGUUUCGUGGUCUCGUGUCUAUAAUUUUAUCAUGAUUUGACCUCAAAUCAGGUAGGAGUACCCGCUGAACUUAAGCAUAUCAAUAAGCGGAGGA
rnacentral:misc_RNA from 1 species